rnacentral:rRNA from 1 species
GACGAACGCUGGCGGCGUGCUUAACACAUGCAAGUCGAACGGUAAGGCCCUUCGGGGUACACGAGUGGCGAACGGGUGAGUAACACGUGGGUGAUCUGCCCUGCACUUCGGGAUAAGCCUGGGAAACUGGGUCUAAUACCGGAUAGGACUCCGGACUGCAUGGUCUGGGGUGGAAAGCUUUUGCGGUGUGGGAUGGGCCCGCGGCCUAUCAGCUUGUUGGUGGGGUGAUGGCCUACCAAGGCGACGACGGGUAGCCGGCCUGAGAGGGUGACCGGCCACACUGGGACUGAGAUACGGCCCAGACUCCUACGGGAGGCAGCAGUGGGGAAUAUUGCACAAUGGGCGCAAGCCUGAUGCAGCGACGCCGCGUGAGGGAUGACGGCCUUCGGGUUGUAAACCUCUUUCAGCACCGACGAAGCGCAAGUGACGGUAGGUGCAGAAGAAGGACCGGCCAACUACGUGCCAGCAGCCGCCGUAA